rnacentral:rRNA from 1 species
UACAGAGGUCCCAAGCGUUGUUCGGAUUCAUUGGGCGUAAAGGGUGCGUAGGCGGUGAUGUAAGUUGGAUGUGAAAUCCCGGGGCUUAACCCCGGAACUGCAUUCAAUACUGCAUUGCUAGAGUACUGGAGAGGAGAUUGGAAUUCACGGUGUAGCAGUGAAAUGCGUAGAUAUCGUGAGGAAGACCAGUGGCGAAGGCGAAUCUCUGGACAGUAACUGACGCUGAGGCACGGAAGGCUAGGGGAGCAAACGGG